AGUGAACGCUGGCGGUAGGCCUAACACAUGCAAGUCGAACGGCAGCACAGUAAGAGCUUGCUCUUACGGGUGGCGAGUGGCGGACGGGUGAGGAAUACAUCGGAAUCUACUUUUUCGUGGGGGAUAACGUAGGGAAACUUACGCUAAUACCGCAUACGACCUACGGGUGAAAGCAGUGGAUCUUCGGACCUUGCGCGAUUGAAUGAGCCGAUGUCGGAUUAGCUAGUUGGCAGGGUAAAGGCCCACCAAGGCGACGAUCCGUAGCUGGUCUGAGAGGAUGAUCAGCCACACUGGAACUGAGACACGGUCCAGACUCCUACGGGAGGCAGCAGUGGGGAAUAUUGGACAAUGGGCGCAAGCCUGAUCCAGCCAUACCGCGUGAGUGAAGAAGGCCUUCGGGUUGUAAAGCCCUUUUGUUGGGAAAGAAAAGCAGCAGGUUAAUACCCCGCUGUUCUGACGGUACCCAAAGAAUAAGCACCGGCUAACUUCGUG
rnacentral:rRNA from 1 species